GACGAAGGAUGCAAGCGUUAUCCGGAUUCAUUGGGUUUAAAGGGUGCGUAGGCGGUCCUGUAAGUCAGUGGUGAAAGCUCUCAGCUUAACUGAGAAACUGCCAUUGAUACUGCAAGACUUGAGUACAGAUGGAUGUUGGCGGAAUAUGACAUGUAGCGGUGAAAUGCAUAGAUAUGUCAUAGAACACCGAUUGCGAAGGCAGCUGACAAAACUGUAACUGACGCUGAGGCACGAAAGUGUGGGGAUCAAAACAGGG
rnacentral:rRNA from 1 species